UAGCGUAAUCAUUUGUUCUUUAAUUGGGGGCAUGUAUGAACGGUCAUACAAGUAAGUUAAUUUUUAAAAAAAUAGAGUAAUUUUUAGUCUAAGUAAAAAUACUUAGGUAGUUAAGAGGGACGAUAAGACCCUAAAAUCUUUAGUUUAGACGGCCUAAAUUAAGUAGUGGUCAUUAAAUUUAAUCCUGAAAACUUUAGCUGGGGUAGUUUUUUUACAAAGAUUAAAAUUAGUAAGGGCAUUAAUAUGGUUUUAUGGUCUUUAAUAUUAGGACAAUUAGAGUUAGUUACUUUAGGGAUAACAGCGUAAUACACCCGGAGAGAUCUUAUUUAUGGGUGUGAUUGCGACCUCGAUGUUGAAUUAAAAGAUCGCUAUAGAGCAGAAAUUAUAGUAGAAGGUUUGUUCAACCUUUAAAAUUUUACAUGAUUU
rnacentral:rRNA from 1 species